GAUGAACGCUGGCGGCGUGCCUAAUACAUGCAAGUCGAGCGAACAGACGAGGAGCUUGCUCCUCUGACGUUAGCGGCGGGCGGGUGAGUCACACGUGGAUAACCUACCUAUAAGACUGGGAUAACUUCGGGAAAGCGGAGCUAAUACCGGAUAAUAUAUUGAACCGCAUGGUUCUAUAGUGAUCGAGGGUUUUGCUGUCACUUAUAGAUGGAUCCGAGCCGCAUUAGCUAGUUGGUAAGGUAACGGCUUACCAAGGCUACGAUGCGUAGCCGACCUGAGAGGAUGAUCGGCCACACUGGAACUGAGACACGGUCCAGACUCCUACGGGAGGCAGCAGUAGGGAAUCUUCCGCAAUGGGCGAAAGCCUGACGGAGCAACGCCGCGUGAGUGAUGAAGGUCUUCGGAUCGUAAAACUCUGUAAGUAGGGAAGAACAAAUGUGUAAGUAACGAUGCACGUCUUGACGGUACCAAAUCAGAAAGCCACGGCUAACUACGUG
rnacentral:rRNA from 1 species